ACGGACUCGAGGAGAGGAGCGGAUGGAAGACGUAGGGGGGAUGCGUGGGUCGGAUGCAGUGGGCGUAAUGGGCGUGUAGGCGGUCGUGCAAGUCGGAGGUGAAAUCCCGCGGCUAAACUGAUGAAUUGCCUUCGAUACUGUUCGGCUUGAGUCCUGGAGAGGGUAGCGGAAUGCCCGGUGUAGCGGUGAAAUGCGUAGAGACCGGGAAGAACACCAGUGGCGAAGGCGGCUACCUGGACAGGUACUGACGCUAACAGCGCGAAAGCUAGGGGAGCAAACAGGAUUAGAUACCCCGGUAGUC
rnacentral:rRNA from 1 species